rnacentral:rRNA from 1 species
CGUAGGAUCCAAGCGUUAUCCGGAUUUACUGGGCGUAAAGAGUUGCGUAGGUGGUAUGUUAAGCGAAUAGUGAAAUGACGAGGCUCAACCUUGUGUCCAUUAUUUGAACUGGCAAACUUGAGAGCGAGAGAGGUAGAUGGAAUUCCAAGUGUAGGAGUGAAAUCCGUAGAUAUUUGGAGGAACACCGAUGGCGUAGGCAGUCUACUGGCUCGUUUCUGACACUAAGGCACGAAAGCGUGGGGAGCAAACGGGAUUAGAUACCCCGGUAGUCCACGCCGUAAACUAUGGACGCUAGCUGUAAGAAGUAUCGACCCUUCUUGUAGCGAAGCUAACGCGUUAAGCGUCCCGCCUGUGGAGUACGGUCGCAAGACUA